rnacentral:rRNA from 1 species
UACGUAGGGUGCGAGCGUUGUCCGGAAUUAUUGGGCGUAAAGGGCUCGUAGGCGGUUUGUCGCGUCGGGAGUGAAAUCUCCCGGCUUAACUGGGAGGGUGCGCCGAAGACUGCGAUGCUGGAGUAUGGGAGAGGAAAGCGGAAUUCCUGGUGUAGCGGUGAAAUGCGUAGAUAUCAGGAGGAACACCUGCGG